rnacentral:lncRNA from 1 species
GGUUUUGAUUUGCAUUUCUCUGACUGCUAGAGAUGGUGAGCAUUUUUUCAUGUACUUGUUGAUUGAUUGUAUGUCCUCCUCUGAUUGGUAGGUUUAAAAAAACCUACCAAUCCUUGAGUUUGGGCUGAUGUAGGACGUGCUUCAGUAAAUGUGAUGUUAAUGUACAUGACAAGACAUGCUUGAGAUAUGCUUGCUCAGUGAGACUCACCCUUUCUAUCUUCACUAAGACCCCUACAGAAGCAUGUUCUGGGUAGCCCUCUGGGCCCAGAAAGAUGAGAAACAGAUGGAGCAUACCUGGACCUACCUGCUGCUCAGAGUCUUAUGUUACACAGCAAUGACUGACUGGUAUAUAUGCUACCAAUAUUUACUCACCAAACCUGAUGACAAUGAAUGCUGAAACAGACUAGGUACCAGUGACUUUAAUAAAUAAUAAAUAAUGCUUUUUAAAAUUAUUAUAAUGAAUUUGGAAGGUAGGCAUUACUUUCCCCCCUAUAUAUAUAUAAAGCAGUCAGAGCUAAGGGAGAAAAACAACUUGACCUAAGUCACACAAUUAGGAAGCACAGGACUGGAGUUAGCACCAAUGCAGAUUGUGAAAUCCAUCUCCUUUGACUUCUACCACAUUGCUCACUCUUCCUGAUUUGCUUAGAGUGAGCUGAAUCUUAGCUAAAGCAGUAUCCAUGCACACAGCAAGAAAGAAAAACACUGAAUCCCACGAUCCCAGUAAGGGUCAUUUAUGUGCACAUUUGCCUGUUUGACACAUUCAAUGAGCACCUAUUAUAUGUCAGUGCAUUAUGGUAUGUCCUGGGGAUUUAGUGGUAAGCUUGAUAGAUACUGUUUCUGUCCUUGUAGGGCUUACAUCUUAUUAUGGCUGUGAGAUACACACACACACACACAC